UACGUAGGGUGCAAGCGUUGUCCGGAAUUAUUGGGCGUAAAGAGCUCGUAGGCGGUCUGUCGCGUCGGCUGUGAAAUCCCGAGGCUCAACCUCGGGUCUGCAGUCGAUACGGGCAAACUAGAGUAUUGCAGGGGAGACUGGAAUUCCUGGUGUAGCGGUGAAAUGCGCAGAUAUCAGGAGGAACACCGGUGGCGAAGGCGGCGAUCUGGGUCGAUACUGACGCUGAGGUGCGAAAGCGUGGGGAGCAAACAGG
rnacentral:rRNA from 1 species